AAUUGCACCACAUGUGUUUUUCUUUGAAACAAACUUGCUUUGGCGGUGGGCCCAGCCUGCCGCCAGAGGUCUAAACUUACAACCAAUUUUUUAUCAACUUGUCACACCAGAUUAUUACUAAUAGUCAAAACUUUCAACAACGGAUCUCUUGGUUCUCGCAUCGAUGAAGAACGCAGCGAAAUGCGAUACGUAAUAUGAAUUGCAGAUAUUCGUGAAUCAUCGAAUCUUUGAACGCACAUUGCGCCCUCUGGUAUUCCGGAGGGCAUGCCUGUUUGAGCGUCGUUUCUCCCUCAAACCGCUGGGUUUGGUGUUNGAGCAAUACNACUUGGGUUUGCUUGAAAGACGGUAGUGGUAAGGCGGGAUCGCUUUGACAAUGGCUUAGGUCUAACCAAAAACAUUGCUUUGCGGCGGUAACGUCUACCACGUUAUAUCUUCAAAACUUUUGACCUCAAAUCAGGUAGGACNUACCCCCCUGAACUAAC
rnacentral:misc_RNA from 1 species